rnacentral:rRNA from 1 species
GAGUUUGAUCGUGGCUCAGGACGAACGCUGGCGGCGUGCCUAAUACAUGCAAGUCGAACGAGAAAAUCUUACACCGGAUGCUUGCAUCCACCGUAAGAAUUUCGAGUGGCGGACGGGUGAGUAACACGUGGGUAACCUGCCCAAAAGAAGGGGAUAACAUUUGGAAACAAGUGCUAAUACCGUAUAACCAUGACAAGCGCAUGCUUGUGAUGUGAAAGAUGGUUCUGCUAUCGCUUUUGGAUGGACCCGCGGCGUAUUAACUAGUUGGUGAGGUAAAGGCUCACCAAGGUGACGAUACGUAGCCGAACUGAGAGGUUGAUCGGCCACAAUGGGACUGAGACACGGCCCAUACUCCUACGGGAGGCAGCAGUAGGGAAUCUUCCACAAUGGGCGCAAGCCUGAUGGAGCAACGCCGCGUGAAUGAAGAAGGUCUUCGGAUCGUAAAGUUCUGUUGUUAGAGAAGAACACGUGUGAGAGUAACUGUUCAUGCGUUGACGGUAU